rnacentral:tmRNA from 1 species
ACCCGGCGCCUCCACCAGUUUCGUUCGGACCGAGUGGCCGUGCGCCGCUCGGGACCCGGCUCAAGACGGGGGCGAACCAGGAUCGACGUGCAGUAAAAGGUAUGCUUUUCACCCGGUAUUGUACCACCGUUAUCGGGCUGAUACUACAAAUGCUAACGACAAUGAUCGUGUGGCACUCGCUGCUUAGUUUCUGAGCAAGCGCGGUUCGGGAGGCACCGGGCAACAGAAGCCUCCCACU